rnacentral:rRNA from 1 species
UACGUAGGGGGGCGAGCGUUUGUCCGGAUUUAUUGGGCGUAAAGAGCUCGUAGGCGGCUUGGCAAGUCGGGUGUGAAACCUCCAGGCUCAACCUGGAGACGCCACUCGAUACUGCUAUGGCUAGAGUCCGGUAGGGGACCACGGAAUUCCUGGUGUAGCGGUGAAAUGCGCAGAUAUCAGGAGGAACACCGGUGGCGAAGGCGGUGGUCUGGGCCGGCACUGACGCUGAGGAGCGAAAGCGUGGGUAGCAAACAGG